CUGCCCAAUGACAACAUAGUUUAAUGGCCGCGGUACCCUGACCGUGCAAAGGUAGCAUAAUCAUUUGCCCCUUAAUUAGGGGCUAGCAUGAAAGGACACACGAAAGCUUCCCUGUCUCACAAUAACAAAUAAAAAUUAAUCUUCAAGUGAAAAAGCUUGAAUGAAACUGCAGGACAAGAAGACCCCGUUGAGCUUUAUUCUCUAUAGACUAAAUCAAAUAUUAAAUAUAUCAUAAACCUAAAAAGAAUUUAGUUGGGGUGACUAAGGAACACCAAAAACUUCCUUUUAUUAAUUAGGAUUAUUCUCCAUAUAAAUUGACCCAUUACAUAUGAUCAAAAAAAUAAGCUACCACAGGGAUAACAGGCUAAUCUUUCUCAAGAGCCCAAAUUGUCAGAAAGGAUUGGCACCUCGAUGUUGGCUUAGGGGCCCCUAAUGGUGCAGAAGCCAUAAAUGGUAG
rnacentral:rRNA from 1 species